rnacentral:rRNA from 1 species
AGAGGCCACACCUGUUCCCAUGCCGAACACAGUAGUUAAGCUCUCCAGCGCCGAUGGUAGUUCGGUUUGCCCGUGCUAGAGUAGGACGUCGCUAGGC